rnacentral:rRNA from 1 species
AUUGAACGCUGGCGGCAGGCCUAACACAUGCAAGUCGAACGAGUGGCGGACGGGUGAGUAAUGUCUGGGAAACUGCCUGAUGGAGGGGGAUAACUACUGGAAACGGUAGAUAAUCCCGCAUACCAUCAGAUGUGCCCAGAUGGGAUUAGGGAGUUGGUGGGGUAACGGCUCACCAAGGCGACGAUCCCUAGCUGGUCUGGGAGGAUGACCAGCCACACGAGAACGGAGACACGUCCCAGACUCCUACGAGGGGCAGAAUUGGGGAAUAUUGCACAAUGGGCGCAAGCCUGAUGCAGCCAUGCCGCGUGAAUGAAGAAGGCCUUCGGGUUGUAGAGUACUUUCAGCGGGGAGGCGUUACCCGCAGAAGAAGCACCGGCUAACUCCGUGCCAGCGGCCGCGGUAAUAC